rnacentral:rRNA from 1 species
AACGAACGCUGGCGGCAGGCUUAACACAUGCAAGUCGAACGGGCGUAGCAAUACGUCAGUGGCAGACGGGUGAGUAACACGUGGGAACCUUCCUAGGGGUACGGAACAACUCAGGGAAACUUGAGCUAAUACCGUAUACGUCCGUGAGGAGAAAGAUUUAUCGCCCUUAGACGGGCCCGCGUCGGAUUAGCUAGUUGGUGGGGUAACGGCCUACCAAGGCGACGAUCCGUAGCUGAUCUGAGAGGAUGAUCAGCCACACUGGGACUGAGACACGGCCCAGACUCCUACGGGAGGCAGCAGUGGGGAAUCUUGGACAAUGGGCGCAAGCCUGAUCCAGCCAUGCCGCGUGAGUGAAGAAGGCCUCGGGUUGUAAAGGACUCUUUUGUUCAGGGACGAGUAAUGACGGUACC